CGCGUAGGCGGUGUACACAGUCAGGCGUGAAAUUCCCGGGCUCAACCUGGGGGCUGCGCUUGAUACAUGUAUGCUUGAGUUCGGAAGAGGGUCGUGGAAUUCCCAGUGUAGAGGUGAAAUUCGUAGAUAUUGGGAAGAACACCGGUGGCGAAGGCGGCGACCUGGUCCGAUACUGACGCUGAGGCGCGAAAGCGUGGGGAGCAAACA
rnacentral:rRNA from 1 species